UCAACUGCAAACUAUUUUCUGAACUCAACAUAGAAAAUCAAUCAGACCAGCUCUUGGGCUGCCAGAAGACAGGAAGGUCACAGGAAGUCUACGGAAAGCAGCUCACUCAGUUCCAUCCAGGAAAGUCUGACGGAAAUAAAUAAACCCAGGCCAAAGGCUGAGGGAAGUAUACAAGAUUCCUGAGGAUUGCUCUGUAACAACAUGAAGAUGAUUGAAGAAGGGCUCAGCAGUGUGGCAGCAAUAGUUGGACAGAACCUCUCCUGCCUUGUUAUUUGCUGAGAAGCUGGGCUCUUCAGCUGGGCUUCUGGGCCUUCUAUUACCGAAGUAAACAAAGGUCCUCUUACUAAAAGGUGCCUGUUAAAGAACAGACGUGUCUGGAAGUCUCUCUGUUGGCUCUGUUUAAAGGAUGGCAGACUCGGAGGCAGAGCCGUGCAUGGUUUCACUGUCAUGGCAAACAGCAAAGAAAAUUUCUCAAUUCCGGUAAUCUGCCCCAGAGAGUGUGCUUGGCGUUCAGCCCUUGGACAACCACCUCUGACCUGUCACUAGUUGUCAUCAUGGGCUGUGACACAGGCGACUCCUCUUCACACUUCUGAGCGGAUUAGCUGGCUUCUUUGUGUCCUGCAGCUUUCUGGAAGGCCUAGCUUACAGGAGGACAGGAGGGAGACCAUCUGUGGAGGCAGAGCCUCUUCUAGUUCUGGAUACAUAGGUGAGCCGCAGAUUGAGCAUUAGGGUAAAUAAGACUUUGAAGAGAGCAAGAAGACUGCCAGACUCCCAAAGGAUCCCCGGAUGGACAGGUAUAGAUCAAUCUAUUGGAGAGAAAUGAUUUGUACUUCCAAAAUAAGAUAUCUGAGUCUUAGGGAGUAUAUAUGAGUCUUAGGAGAGAGAAACAUGAGGAAUUCGGAGGGAAAAAAAACCCUGGAAUCAUUAAAAAUUUUCUUUAAGUCGGAACAUUCAUUUACUUAGACAGCUUAAAUGUAAUAGGAGAGUGUGAAAUAUUUGUAUUUGUGAAAUGGGAAUAUUUUUGUUACUUUUUUUUGUUUGAGAACAUGGCUCUCCCCUCCUUUUCUACUCACAGUGAAUAGAAAAAAAGCAUGGAAGAGUGGUCAGCCAAAAGGAAAUAAAAGCUCAAUUCAAAUUUUAUUCUGUGAUUUAGUAGAUUUCUCCCCUUCACUAUGCCUCAGCUCAGCUGAACUAAGAAAUGACCCUUUGACUCCAAGAGGAAAUGAAUUCAGCUAUUAUCUUGUUAAAAACAUUGUCAGAAGGGCAAUCCUCUAAAAAUGUGGAUAUACUAGUAAACAUAUGUAAAGCCUGUCUGUAUUGACCAGUGAAAUAAAAUGUUUAAAGUCUGUUUGCAAA